ACGGGAGGCAGCAGUGGGGAAUAUUGGGCAAUGGGCGCAAGCCUGACCCAGCAACGCCGCGUGAAGGAAGAAGGCUUUCGGGUUGUAAACUUCUUUUAUAAGGGACGAAGAAAGUGACGGUACCUUAUGAAUAAGCCACGGCUAACUACGUGCCAGCAGCCGCGGUAAUACGUAGGUGGCAAGCGUUAUCCGGAUUUACUGGGUGUAAAGGGCGCGUAGGCGGGGAUGCAAGUCAGAUGUGAAAUCUAUGGGCUCAACUCAUAAACUGCAUUUGAAACUGUAUCUCUUGAGUGCUGGAGAGGUAGACGGAAUUCCUUGUGUAGCGGUGAAAUGCGUAGAUAUAAGGAAGUACACCGGUGGCGAAAGCGGCUUACUGGACGAUUACUGACGCUGAGGCUCGAAAGCGUGGGGAGCAAACAGGAUUAGAUACCCUGGUA
rnacentral:rRNA from 1 species